rnacentral:rRNA from 1 species
UGGGGAAUAUUGCACAAUGGGCGCAAGCCUGAUGCAGCCAUGCCGCGUGUAUGAAGAAGGCCUUCGGGUUGUAAAGUACUUUCAGUCGGGAGGAAGGUGUCAAGGUUAAUAACCUUGGCAAUUGACGUUACCGACAGAAGAAGCACCGGCUAACUCCGUGCCAGCAGCCGCGGUAAUACGGAGGGUGCAAGCGUUAAUCGGAAUUACUGGGCGUAAAGCGCACGCAGGCGGUUGAUUGAGUCAGAUGUGAAAUCCCCGGGCUUAACCCGGGAAUUGCAUCUGAUACUGGUCAGCUAGAGUCUUGUAGAGGGGGGUAGAAUUCCAUGUGUAGCGGUGAAAUGCGUAGAGAUGUGGAGGAAUACCGGUGGCGAAGGCAGCCCCCUGGACAAAGACUGACGCUCAGGUGCGAAAGCGUGGGGGGCAAACAGG